rnacentral:lncRNA from 1 species
CUAGGACCACCGCCAUAUAUUGACACAUUGAAGUACCUGCCCAGAUAUUUUAAACCCUAGGACCACCGCCAUAUAUUGACACACUGAAGUACUUGCCCAGAUAUUUUAAACCCUCUCUAAUAUUCGAGGGGUGUCUACUCCAUUCACAUUUCGUAAGGGAGCUCUCUCUAAUAUUCGAAGAGUGUCUACUCCACUCACAUUUCGUAAGGGAGAGAUUAACCCCCAUAAAGCUCUUAUGGAGUCUCGAACUCUUGCACUCAAUAUUGUAAGUGCAAG